GCUAGGUGCAGUGGCUUGCACCUGUAAUCCCAGCACUUUGGGAGGCCGAGGUGGGCGGAUCACCUGAGGUCAGGAGUUCAAGACCAGCCUGGCCAACAUGGUGAAACCCCAUCUCUA
rnacentral:SRP_RNA from 1 species